GGGGGUGUAGCUCAGUUGGUUAGAGCGCAUGCCUGUCACGCAUGAGGUCGCGAGUUCGAGUCUCGUCACUCCCGCCA
rnacentral:tRNA from 1 species